AGUAAUAUAUCGGAACGUACCCUGGAGUGGGGAUAACGUAGCGAAAGUUACGCUAAUACCGCAUACGAUCUAAGGAUGAAAGCAGGGGACCGCAAGGCCUUGUGCUCCUGGAGCGGCCGAUAUCUGAUUAGCUAGUUGGUGGGGUAAAGGCCUACCAAGGCAUCGAUCAGUAGCUGGUCUGAGAGGACGACCAGCCACACUGGAACUGAGACACGGUCCAG
rnacentral:rRNA from 1 species